rnacentral:misc_RNA from 1 species
UGUACACACCGCCCGUCACACCAUGGAAGUUAGCCACGCCCGAAGUCGUUACUCCAACCCUUGUGGAGGAGGAUGCCGAAGGUGGGGCUGAUGACUGGGGUGAAGUCGUAACAAGGUAGCCGUACCGGAAGGUGCGGCUGGAUCACCUCCUAACAGGGAGACAAAUGUAACAUUGAUGUUAACCCAAUUGUGGUGAACCGAUGUUCUGUCAUCUCGAAGGUCGAUCGGUACCUCGAUAAACAACAGGAAGGAUAACUUGCUGAAGUUUUUUCAGUUUCUCAACUUCUGUCUAGGUCACCCCAAAGGUGAGCGAUGUUAAGUCGCAAAGCUGAGGUAGGACGCUCCUGGGCCAUUAGCUCAGGUGGUUAGAGCGCACCCCUGAUAAGGGUGAGGUCCCUGGUUCAAGUCCAGGAUGGCCCAUUCGUGUUUGGGGGUUUAGCUCAGUUGGUAGAGCGCCUGCUUUGCAAGCAGGAUGUCAGCGGUUCGAGUCCGCUAACCUCCAUCAACAGUUGAGGUAUAGGACCUCUAGACCACAGGAGCCAAUGCUGUGGGAAGAUCUAGACAUGAACAAGCCGUAACUGGUGACGACGAGUUCAGCAUCAUUUCAUUCCCGAAUGCUUGAGGAGCAAGGGUUGAAAAGACGCUGGAUUCACUAGUUGUUUACUUUGAAGUGUAAGCAGCUAGUUGUUCAGCAGAACCUUGACAACUGCAUAGGUGAGUCUGGAAAGAAAGCAUCUCAUAGAUGGCUAGAAGCGAAAGCUUUUAGCAAAUUCUUGAGUUAAGAGCCGAGUAUCCAAAACAAUCAUGAUCAAAACGAUUGUGAGCUUUCAGUGAAUGCUGAAAGAUCAUGAUUCGGAUUUGGAUGUAUUGGUUUGGAUGAUAAUGGUCAAGCUACAAAGGGCUCACGGUGGAUACCUAGGCACACAGAGA